UACAGAGGGGGCAAGCGUUGUUCGGAAUUACUGGGCGUAAAGGGCGCGUAGGCGGCCACCUAAGUCAGACGUGAAAUCCCUCGGCUCAACCGGGGAACUGCGUCUGAUACUGGGCGGCUUGAAUUCGGGAGAGGGAUGCGGAAUUCCAGGUGUAGCGGUGAAAUGCGUAGAUAUCUGGAGGAACACCGGUGGCGAAGGCGGCAUCCUGGACCGAGAUUGACGCUGAGGCGCGAAGCC
rnacentral:rRNA from 1 species